rnacentral:lncRNA from 1 species
GAGAUGAGAUUUUUGAGAACUUAGGUGAAGAAAGGCCACUUUGAUAGAAAUCCAAAUAUUCUGUUUGGCAAGAGCCCAAUGGCUUUAAAAACACUUUCAGUUUUUGAUUAGGGUCUGACUAGCCAUUGAAAUGUGGGGAAUUUUAGAUAUGGGAUGAUAAAACCAGAAAAAUUUAGGGGAAUAUAGGCAAGCAAGUUCUAAUUCUCUAUGUAGUUUGUACACCAAAACUAAUGGGAAAGUCUGACACAAAGGUCAAAAGAUAGGCUCAUAUGUUCUGAGAAGGUUUUCACUCCUCAAAAGUCAGAAAAAAUGAAAACAUUUCUAAUUUUACCUUUCUUUGAGACACAGUCUUUGUGUCUCAACUGCAUACUUCUAUAUUUUUUCAUAUAUUUUUCCUUGUCCUUUUCUGUGUUUGUACCUGCAUGGGUAUGUUUUGUAUAAUUGCAUCCAAGGUCAACCAGCUUAAACCUAAUGUCUGAGUUGACAUUAAGGAUUUACUGCUUUUGGCUUUCCUGAAGAUUUCUAUUUCUCUUUUGCUCAUAUUAAAUUUAGAGAACAAUACUUUUUUAACACUACCCACAGUUUCAUUUUUUCCAUUUUCUAAUAUUUUGUUUACAAUAAAGGCAAUUUGGAAGACUGAUUUGAAAAGAUACAUGCACCCCAAUGUUCAUUGUGGCACCAUUUACAAUAGCCAAGACAUGUAAACAACUUAAAUACCUAAAUGUCCAUUGACAGAUGAAUGGAUAAAGAGAUAUGGGGUGUGUGUGUGGGUGUGUGUGUGUGUGUGUGUGUGUGUGUGUGUAAUGGAAUACUAUUCAGCUGUAAAAAAAGAAUGAAAAUAAUGCCAUUUGCAGCAAUAUGGGUGUUAAGUGAAGUAAGUCAGACAGAGACAAAUAUCAUUGGAUAUCACUUAUAUGUGGAAUCUAAAAAAUAUAGAUUAUUUAUAUUGCCAGUUGCCUUCUGUGGUAGCCAGCCUCCAAGAUGGCCUCCAAAUACCCACCUCCUGGUGUUCGAGCCUUCAUGUAAGCCCCUGCUACCCUGUGCCAGGGUGGUCUGUGUAAGCAAUAAGAUAUAGCAUAAGUAAAGGAAUGUUAUAAAAGACUGUGACUUCCAUGGUGGCCAUGUUGUGUCUGUCAGUCUGUUUCUCUCUUGUGCGCACACACACACACACACACACACACACACACACACACACACAGAGUUUCUCUCUCUUUCUCUCUCUUUGCUUACUUACUCUGAGGGAAACAAGGCCUGUUGUGAGCAGCCUUAGGGAGAGGCCCGGAAGGUAAGGAAAUGGAAUUUCUAGUAACAGCCAGCAAGGAACUGAGGCCUGUCAACUGUCGUGUGUGUGUGCUUGAAAUGGAUCCUGAGCCUUCAGGUAACAGCAGCCCUGGCUGACAACUUGAUUGUAAUUUCAUGAACAACUCUGAACCAGAACCCCCAGGUGAGCAGUUUCUGCAUCUUCUUCCUUAGAAACUGUCAGAUCAUAUGUGUUUAUUACUUUAAGCUGGAAAUUUGGGGGCUAAUUUGCUGUAGAGCAAUAGAUAACUAAUACAUAUACUCAACUAAUACAUAUACUCAACUAAUACACUUCUUCCUUUUUUUCUUGCUAACAGGUCUCAAAUUUCUUUCAAAGCAUCAAAGUGCUCAGGAUAAAACAAAACAAACAAACAAAAAAAACAACCAACCAACCACACAAAAGUUAUCCAAGAAGAAAGGAACCAGACUGCUGGACUUGGCCAAGAAUAAAUGGAACUAGAGUUUCAACAUCUUCCUACCCUGUAAAGUUGCAAAUCUGUAGCCUUUGAAAACUGUGAAGAUGGGAAAUGUAGCAAACUGAAUUGAACAUUUACCAACAAUUGUUUGGAGAAUUCUCCUGCGUUUUUGGGUAAGAAACUGUUUACAGCCAUGAUUAUAAGAACCCUCCUUUUUAUUCUCCUUAGUAAACUGGGGCUGCCAAAGUCUGAAGUUCUCUUAUCUGCUCAGACAUUCUUUGAUCCACCCACCUUAAACAGAACAGGAAAAAGGGUUUGUUUUGGUCUUGUUUUUAAGCAUUGUCACACCCUAAGUGGAAAAAUUUUAGAUUGUGUAUUAGACUAGACAAAUUAAAAACACCUAAAAAUAACACCUCAAAAUAUGUUUAUAAGAUAAUGUGGAAAUGAAUAAAAAAGUGAAUUCACUCUUGGGUUACAAAAAAUAACAAAAAAUUGUCUUACUGAGGAAACUCCUUUCUUAUAUUCUUGCCUUCUUCAAUUCCUUCCCUACUUUUUCACGGUCAUUUAAAAUCAUGAUUAAUCUAUUGAAAUCAACAAAAUAUAUUAAAAUCAACUUGUAACUCUUAAAAGUCUUUUAUAUUAGGACUUUAAAAAAAUUACAUCAGCUCAGUUAUUUUGAUACUAAAAUAUUCUGGGGGGGGUUAGGGGAGAUUAAGAAGUGAUCUAUAGAACCAAAGAAACUGCUUAAAAGAUAAUGAAAAUUAAAUUAAUUUCCUGCUGAGCAGUAAUCCUAAGAGAGAGCAAAACAUACCUCCCAAAGAAGUUUUUACCACAUGCCCAUUUUCCUUAGAAUAAAGUAAACUAGCAAGGGAUUCUGAACUUUUAAUCAAUUCUUUGGCAUUUUCCCAGUAUCUGGUGGUAUAUUCUUUUCCUUUUCUUUCUUUUUCCUUCCUUCCUUCCCUCCCUCCUUCCUUCCUCCUUCCUUCCUUCCUUUCCUCCUUUCUUCUUUUCUUUUCCCUUCCUUCCCUCUCUCCCUCCUUCCCUCUCUCCUUCCCUCCCUCCCUCCAUCCCUUCUUUCUUCCUCCCUCCUUUCUUUCUUUCUUUCUUUCUUUCUUCCUUCCUUCCUUCCUUCCUUCCUUCCUUCCUUCCUUCCUCCUUCCUUCCUUCCUUCCUUCCUUCUCUUGACUGUGCCUUUGGCAUGCAGAAGUUCCAGGGCUGGGAUCAAACCCAUGCCACAACAGUGACCCAAGUGCUUACAGUGACAGCCCUGGAUCCUUAGUCUGCUGCACCACAAGGGAAAUCCCAUAAUGGUGUAUUCUUAAUAGAAGAACUAUUAAACUAUUUGGAGCUAACUAAUUAUAUUGAAAACAUGAUCAACCUUUAAUUAACAAAUGCAUAAGAAUGAAGAAAUUGAAACUGAAUAGGUGCUAGGACUUCUGAAACCUAAUUAGAAUUGAAAUGAGGCAGAAACAUAAAUCAUUGCUGCUAAGUAAGGACUCACACUGUCUUACUUUGAAAGGUGGGAAUGAACUCUUGAUAGAAUCUUUGUUUUGUUUUUUUAAUCACUUGGGUAAAUUAAAGGACCUCCCAUGUAAAUCAUUUUUCAAUUGGCCCAAAACCCAAAUUCAAGUUCUUAUAAUGCUUGGAGAUAAUUCUUCUGACCCAAAGUAAAAGUUAGUAGAAUAGAGCAUUUUCAGGUUGUGAUGUUAGAUACAUUAAUAUGACAUUUAGGUGCUAUUUUUCAAAAAAUGUAGCUAUAAGAUUUUUCCUCUGCACUACAACUCUGUUAAAAUUUCCAGUGGAAAGGAAGCCAUGACUUAGAUUGCUAGAUGGGUUUUGGUGUCAAUCCUGAGCAGAAUCUUGGCUUUACUACAUUUUAGUUUUGUGACCAUAGGCUAUUUAACUUCAAUGAGACACAGUUUCUCAUCUAUAAAAUGGAUCUAAUAGUAACUUUUUAUGAUAUUGUGUGAGAAUUGAAUGAGAAAAUAUGUAAAUCACUUGCUUAGCAGAGGUCAUUUCCUCAUUGUCCUCUUCCAUUACUCACAGUAUUUUAAAUUUCUAACACUUAGAAUUCUCACACAGUACCAACCAAAGUACUUCCUUGGGAUUCUCUGGGGUCUUUCUUCUCUUGGGAUCUCUUAUAUCCUUCUUCCUUGGAUGUCCUUUUUCAGCCCCAUUCUUCCCUUCUUCAUCCUGUCUUCAAUGUCAGUACUAUUUAACCUUUCAUUCUGGUUUUCUGCAGACAUCCACCAUGACUUUCUUCCUCUUUUCUUCUCUGCAGUGAAAUAACUUCUUUGAUCCUUAAUGCCUUCUCAUUCUCUAAGAACAAUUCAGGUAUAUAUAUUACUUGUAAAAACAUUUUGGCAUUACAAAUACUUUUCAAGGAAAAAAAAAAUCCACUCAUGUUCUCUUUCAGUCCCUGCCAUAUGUUUACAUUUAAAAAAUUCAAUUUGUACAUAGCAAGAUGAAACUGUUUGUGAGAUGGUAUGGUGCAAUGGCUAGAACACAGGAAGCGAGAAGCCAGUUCCUGUUCUGUUCUAGUGACCCUUAGUGGGUCCAUUUACUUCUUGAGCUCUCAUGUACUUCAACUCUAAAAUGACACAGUGGGAGAAAUUCCUGAGAUCGCUUUAACUCUGAAAAUAGUCUAAGAAUUGCUAUAUUUGUAAAAUGGGAAUGUUCUCCCAAUACUGCCUAACCCAAGAGUGAGGCUGACCACAGUAUCAUUAUUCAAUUUUCUCCCUUGGUUCCUAUGCACGAGCGCAGAAAAUAAGCAAGGGAUAGAACCCUGCAGGCACAGAUAGGAGUACUUUCUGCCAAGUGGAUAAUUGCCUCUUGGCCUUCUCCCAUGGGGGCCUCUUGCUGUCUAGCUAUACUGAUGCCUUUGGGUGGUUCCAUCUCUCCUGCCUGGGUCUCCUUAUCACAGAUCUGUAACUGCCCUACAAUGACUUUGUGAAAUGGCUGGAUUAAAGCUUCAAGCUUUGCCCUGGAAGAGAACAGGUCUAUUGGUCUGUGCUGGAGACAGUCUCCACAUAUCUCUGUGUUGCAAUGAGAAGCAGAGGACGGGUCCAAUCUGCUGGGUAUGUCAGCUCUGAAGGGGUGGAGGGGAGAAGGUCAGAAACAAACACGCUUAGAAAAAUGUCCCCAUUUAUCCACUUCCUGAUUUGGUUUGUUUUCAGAGUAUUGUCAGAUGCUUCCCUUCCCCCUAAUGACAGUGAACUGAAGAGCCAGCAGGACAGAGGUUUCUGUGUUAAGACAUGAAUGUGAAGUCUUACUGUAUUUUGAGUACUUAAGGAAAAGCUAAUGGGAACUUUCCAGGGAAGAUGGUGGGUGUUAUUAACAUGGAAAUAUGUAUGAGGAUUCCUAAAUGGAGUCUUUAUAGGCUGGAGUUGGAGGCUAAUAAGACCCUGGCUGGUAGCGGGUAGGCAGGGUGUGGGACUGGGUAGGGGUGGGGAGAAAGGGUAGUGAAGAAAGCUUUCUUUUGGAAUCUGGGGACUCCGUGGGCCUGUUUAAAGGGGAGACUGAGCAACACAGAGGAGGUGCUAGAGAAACCACAAUGACUGAACAGCUAUAGGACAGGAGGGAGGCCACUGGCCAGGGCAAAAAUGAGAACCUGUGAGUGGAGGUGGAAGAUCCUAGGAGUUAUUUAUUUUAAGAAAGUGAUUCCUGAAGGGAAGGGCAACACUGGGAAGAACUUGUGAAUUGAAGGGAAAGUGGCCUCUGGGAGUCCCAGAGAGUGAUCUACAUUCAAACCUGAGCCAAGGCAAUCAGGAUAAUGGUCGGCUUGGCCCCCUCACCUCCAGGCCUCUAACUUCUGCAGCUAAGGCCACAGCUGUCCAGCCUGCCCAAAGUUCUAGAGCCAACCCUGUUUUUACAGAGAAACAAGAACUGAGAGUUCUAGUCUGUUGCCAUCGUGGGGACCCUGCUUUUUACUGCAGGGCCUACUCUGACUGGUAACUGUCCUUUUGUUUCCUUUUGACUUAGCUUCUGUUGUGGGUCCCAGGAGCUGCCUCUUUUUCUUAGAAUAAUAUUGUCCCUAUCAUAUUUAAUAACCCUACAAGAAAGGUAAUAUUAUUCCCAUUCUGCAGAUGAGAAAACUGAGGUGUAGACGGUUUGGUUUGGUUUUUCGCAGCCCCCAAAUCAUGGCUCACAGCCAGGAUUCAAUCCAGGCAGUUUAUCACCAGAGCCCAAUUUGGACACACCAGGCCGCCCUGCUUCUCCAUCCAAUCUCCACCUUGGUUAUUUGCCUGCCACUCUGAUUGUACUGAGAUGGCCUAGAUUUAUACUCUAGUCUUUCUUUUGAACAUCUUCAGCAUGCCUGCCUCCUUCAUCUUUCUUUGAUAAUACCCAGCUCUAUGGUUGGCCUGCUUCCUGGGUCUUGACUAUUUCAUGUUUACUGGUCCUUCAGCUUAUGAAGAACCCUGCUGGUGGCCGCUGAGAUCUCCUAAGAGACAUGACUGAACUUGAUUCUCUCUGACUUUGCUUACUCUUCAGUACAGUUGCGUCGUGCUGGUGUAGUCACUGCAGACAGACUGGAAGCCGAGUUUGGCUGGAUAAGAUGAACACUCAGGGUAUGAAGUUAGCUGGAAUGUGAAUCAGGCCUCAGCAGCCCCAGGUAGAAACCAGUCAUGUGGGUUUGAUGUCUAGAAGAGCUGGGAAAGGACCUCUUACCCCUUAGUGGUGAACUGGGGUCAAUUAUUGAAAUCCACAACAUGGCUUGAAGGAUUCAACCCUUCAGCUUGCACGUGACUUUCCUUGGAGCACAGUGCCCGGUGGUGCUGUAGCUCUGACUUGCUGUUUUGGUUAAGGGAGAGGUUCUCAACCUUAUUAUUCAUCACGGCCACCUGCAGAGCUCCUGAGAACUGCUGAAGCCAUCCCCAAAGUUCAGUUUUAGAUGGUAUAGGUUGACUUACAGGCAUCCACAGUUUUACACUAAAGUGCUGCAGAGGAGUGUAAUGCUAACCAUGGUUGCUAACCAUUCACACGCUGGGUGGUUCUUAGCCUGAGGGUAUCACCAGUGAAGAAGUCUCUAGUGUGGCUCUUCCUUGUGAACCCUGGAUGUUGUGGAAUAUAAAUCUGAUCAAUGAAGGAGGGCUGUGUAGGUUCCUUAAGUUGUUUAGGACCGCUAGAGGAAGCAUACCACGGAAGCAUACCACGUGCUUAAAAGAUGCUAGGAGAGAGGAUUAAGAUGGCAGAAUAGAAGGACUAGAGCUCAACUUCUCUCCUAAAAACAACAAAAUUCACAUCUAAAAGCUGAGCAAUCCCCACCCAAAUGGACCGGAAACCUUAAAAAAGAUACCCUACUCCAGAAGAAAAAGAGGAGGCCACAUCAAGAGGUAGAAGGGGUGAUUUCGUGAUAUAAACAACCCCAUACCUCCCAGGUGGGAAGCUCCACAGACUGAAAACUAACUGGUUCACAGAGAGAGACUCACCUACAGGAGUGAGAGUUCUGAGCCCCACAUCAAACCCUCAUGUGCAGAGAUCUGGCACUGGGAGAAAGAGCCUGUGGAGCAUCUGGCAUUGAAGGCCAGUGGGGCUUGUGCACAGGAGCUCCACAGGACUGGGGGAAACAGAGACCCCAUUCUUAAAAGGCACACAUGGACUUUCACAUGCACUGGAUCCCAGGGCAGAGCAAGGUCUUCAUAGGAAUCUGGGUCAAACCUGACUGCAGUUCUUGGAGGACAUCCUGGGAAAACAGGGGUGAAUGUGGCUCGUUGUGAGGGAGGGACAUUGAAAGCAAAGCUCUCUGGAAUAUUCAGCAGCCAUGCCUUUCUCUGGAGGUGGCCAUUUUGGGAAAAUCUGCCCCCACCCAUCAGUCAGCACUGAGAAGCCCCAGGGCAAACAACAACCCAGAUGGGAUCACAGCCCCGCCCCUCAGUAAACAGGCUACCUAAAGACCCCUCAGGCACACAGCUGCCUCUAAUCCCAUCCAGAACUAAGCCCCACCCACCAGAGGGAUUAGAAUCAGCUCCACCUACCAGUGGGCAGGCAUCAGCCCCUCCCAUCAAGAAGCCUACAGCAAGCCCCCCCACCAACUUCAGCUACAAGGGGGGCAGACACCAGAAGUAAGUGAAACCACAACCCUAUUAUCUGUAAAAAGGUCACCACACCAAAAACCUAUAAAAAUGAAAAGACAGAGCACUAUAACUCAGAAGAGGGAGAAAGAAAAACCCCUGAAAAUCAGCUAAGCAAGGAGGAGAUUCUCAGCCUCCAGGAAAAAGACUUUAGAUUGUUGAUGCUGAAGAUGAUGCAAGGCAUUGGAUAUAAACUGGAGGCAAAGAUGGAUAACUUACAGGAAACCCUGACCAAAGAGAUACAAGAUAUAAAACUUAAACAAGAAGAUAUGCAAAAUAC